rnacentral:lncRNA from 1 species
GCUAAAAUCUAAAUGAUAUCCAUUUUGUACUAAGAUUAUUAUAUUAUGAAUCAUAUUCAUUUUGACAAAUAGUAGUGUUCUGUAAAUUUCAACAAAAACUCAACAAAUUAUUUUGUUGAAUAACUCUUAAUUGUGUUCUUUCUUGUUUUUUUAGAAUGUGUUUUUUCAUAGUACUCUAAGAUAUUAUAUUAUAGGGUUAUAUUCAAUGAAUUUUUAAUACAAUUUUUUUUUAAUAUAGUCAUAAUUUCAAAUAUUAUAUUCUAUCAUUUUUUACUUGUUAUGUUGAUUUGGCACAAGAAUAUAAUUAUUUUAAAAAAUAAACCCGGAAAUAAUUUCUCAAAAUCAUUAUAUUACAAGUUGUACAUUUAAAAGUUUAUUUUAUUAGUUAAUUCUGCAUAAGGCUAAAUAUAGUAAAAAUAUAAGUAUAACCUUAUACUUUGCAAAAUAACUUUACACAAAAGUUCUAAAUGCUAACUAAUUAAAUUAUUAUAUGAUUGUAAUCAUAAAUCAUUUUAAUUAAUUGAACAAAAAAUAUGUUCCUUCCAACCCUUUGUUUGUAUGUAUAUACAAAAACAUAUUGAAAUAAACUUCAUUUCCUGCUUGAAUCUGAUUUCUAUAGAACCUAGUAACAUACUUGUUUAGUGUCUACAACCCUAAAAUGUUAAUCAAUUCUACAUUAUGUAAAGCUCUGGCUCUAUUCUACAAUAGCUUCAUUCAACACAUCAAUUUGUUUUGUUCCAUUUAUAUAUAUAUAUGUAUUUUGGAUCUUGUGACGACUUUGACUUGAUAUACAAACUUGAAAAGCCGUGUGAGAGAACCGAUAAAAGAAGACUUUAAAUCGCGGAAAGCUGAAAACACAACUUGAGGUACCAACCGCAAUUGUGGUUCUUCUUUUGACCAGCAACAUUGGCGGACUUACUAUCAGAGUGUUAAUUUUACUAUCAGAAUGUUUAAAUCAGAAUGUUUGUGCUACAAUCGCAAGCUUCAGAAUAUUGUAUAACUCCUCUCUCGUGAAAGGAUGAAUAUAACUAACACUACAAUAUUAUCUUGUGAGCAGCAUCAAUCCAGACAGAGAUGGAUUACAUGCAAAAAAAUUGAACAGGGCCACUCAAGAUUUCCCCAAUCUCACACAGUCUUUACAAUCCCGAGCUGCAAAGGGCACCUGAAUCCAUGAAUCCGUUACAGAACUUGACAAUCCAGUGGACACAUCCCAAAUGCGCAUCUCCCCAACCCGCAAAAUCACUAGAAAAUCACUUCAAUAAAUUCUAAAGGGACUCAUACUGGGUAAGAUACAGAAAAUAGACCCUACAAAAUUUUCGUAAGUCUGGCGGAUUAAAUUAUCUCAACAACAGCGAUCCUCGACAAUCAAGUUGCAAGAUUAAUGUUCAUCUUCUAAGACAUAUCUCCAUGAGAAAUCAUGACAUUGAAAAAAGUGAUUCUUCUGCGCAAGUUUUAACUCAAAUUGAGCCCUGCGCUUUUCCUUUCCCAUUUUACAAUUCACAAUCAUAGGCAAGCAAGUGACCAUUUGAGAGACGAACCGUGAGCAAAAUUAGGGCAACACUAACCUGGAGUUCCAUCUUAACAUGGCGUGACAUCCUUAUCAGCGCCACAGCAAUUGAGCAAUCCAUGAACCUUCCAAAACCCUUCCUUUACGACGCACUCUAUUUCUUAACCCACAAACUUGCUCAAAAGAAGCAUGGAGUUUUCUUUUUGUGCCAACCCCAGCAAACAAAAUUGCUCUCAGAUUACAAUUUUGAGGGCAUAGACACAAAACAAUGUUACAUGCUCUGUCUGCACUUCUGUUUCUAUUGUAUGUGUGAAACUUACACAACUUGCAGCAUCAGCUGUAUCUUGCUCCAGUUGAAAACGAACCUCUGUAUCAACAACAC